CGUUCCCGGGCCUUGUACACACCGCCCGUCACACCACGAAAGUCGGCAAUACCCGAAGCCGGUGGCCUAACCCUCUGGGAGGGAGCCGUCGAAGGUAGGGUCGAUGAUUGGGGUG
rnacentral:rRNA from 1 species